UUCCCCAACUCUUUCACUUUUCUCUCUAUCUCUCUAGGUCUCUCUCUCUUUUUCUUGGUUUUUUUUCUUUUAGUUUUUUUUUCUUUUGUUAAUUUUAGUUUUAUUUUGGGAAUCAAGUGGAUAUAGCAAGGAGAUCAUUAAGGAAAGCUUGAAAAAUACAUUGAAGGAAUUACAAUUCGUAUUUAAAAGGGUUUUAUCUCAACUUUUGUAUUCCUUUCAUUUAGUUCUUCAUGUUUGUAAUGAUAUGUUUAUGAGAAUCUCUUUGUUAUUUUGUUAGAAUGAUGAACUAAACAAGUUUAUGUUGGAAUUUAAGUAUUAGCUUAACCUAUUUUCAUUAAUAUCGUGUUAUAUGUUGUUAGAUAUG
rnacentral:lncRNA from 1 species